CAAGGAAUCUUCCGCAAUGGGGGCAACCCUGACGGAGCAACGCCGCGUGGGGGAUGACGCCCUUCGGGGUGUAAACCCCUUUUCUGCGGGAAGAAGGUGGGGCAACCCACUUGCCGGUACCGGAGGAAGAAGGACCGGCUAACUACGUGCCAGCAGCCGCGGUAAUACGUAGGGUCCGAGCGUUGUCCGGAGUUACUGGGCGUAAAGCGCGCGCAGGGGGCGGUGCUGGCCCGGCGUGAAAGCCCCCGGCUCAACCGGGGAGGGUCGUCGGGGACCGCACCGCUUGAGGGCGGUAGGGGCUGGUGGAAUGCCUGGUGUAGUGGUGAAAUGCGUAGAGAUCAGGCGGAACACCCGUGGCGAAGGCGGCCAGCUGGGCCGUCCCUGACGCUGAGGCGCGAAGGCGUGGGGAGCGAAC
rnacentral:rRNA from 1 species